UUUGAACCAACCUCUCAGGGUCAAUAAUAUUUCAGUAUUUUGUGUGCAGCAUUUAAGAUUAUAAAGUAUGCCCAUUUCAGCACUCCUUUUAAACAGAAAGAUUUAGUUGAAAACUCAAAGCCACAUUUGUCCACUGAAAGCUUUUAAAAAGCUUCAUUUGUGAAAAGACACAUUGACCAGAGCUGCUGGGGAUCAUUAAUGAAAGCUGGAUCUUCAAAGGAGAUUCUGUGUUACAAAAAGGAUAUGCAAUAUAAUUUUGAAAAAUUAAACUACAUGCUCGAGGAAGGAUUCAACAUUUCCGGAGAACCUAGCAUUUUCCCUCAGAAGACUAAAAUUAGAUCCUGUUUUAAUGACUGUCCCUGCAACACUGACUUCUAUGUAAUGAGAAUGUUUCCAUGUUCCUGCUGACAGACCACCUACUAUUCUUUGCUGAUGUGGGGCUGAUAAUUCUGACAAUCAAUAAUAAUAAUUGUAUAAACAUUAACAUGUAUUGAGUGCGUGCUUUGUGCCAGGCACUGCACAAAGUGCUUUAUAAUGAUUAUUUCAUUUGAUCUUUGUAAUAACCCCAUGAGUUAAGAAUACAAAUGCUCUGGCAUAUCAGAAUUGUUCACAUUUGAUGGUUGACUCAAUAUCGACUUUUAAAAACUGUCUAGAAACCUCCCACGACACUUACUGCACUGAUGGUUCUCCAUACUCCUCCAAUGACAC
rnacentral:lncRNA from 10 species